rnacentral:sRNA from 1 species
GAAUCUCUUCGCUUUCAAUCAACUCACUACAGCAGGGAUCUUCAUUAUUCUGUUGUCUAUAAUCACUUUCAUCUUUGCCAUCACACCAACUAUCAAGGCGACUUUUCUGGUUAGUUAAUAAUACAACUUUAAAAGAUUUAAUUCAAAAUUUUAGUUUUCCUUAUUGGUCGUUGGGACGCAAAUCGAAGUGGCUGCAUUGGUCCACUUAUUCUCACUCGAUCACCACCAAAUCUACACUAAUUUGGCACUUUUUGCUGGUAAACAUAAAUAUGAAAAUUUUAAAUUUUAAACUCGUUUUUCAGGUUUCCUCGCCGCCUGGGAUCCGUUUUGUGCUUUAUUGCGAUAUCGAAGACGAAUUUUGUACAAAAGUGAAACUAGACGAACCCCUGAGUUGGCAUCAAAGAGACGAGUUCUUUUGCCAAUUGUUGCUACAGCUGAUAUUGCUCAAUUUUUUGUGUUACUUAUUACAGG